rnacentral:rRNA from 1 species
AAAUGAAAACGAAUCUGAGACAUGCACACAUCGCCCGUCACUCUUGCCCAAAGGUAAGAUAAGUCGUAACAAAGUAGGUGUAACGGAAGUUGCACCUGU